rfam:Hordeum vulgare subsp. vulgare, WGS project CAJW01000000 data, contig: morex_contig_65220
CAUAUACUCCCUCCGUCCCAAAAUUCUUGUCUUAAGUUUGUCUAGAAAUUGAUGUAUGUAAAUACUAAAACGUGACUAGAUACAUUCAUAUGUAAACAAAUUUAAGACAAAAAUUUUGGGACGGAGGGAGUAUAAG